UGAACCUCUGUUGAAUAGAGCACAGAAAAAAUAGAUGUUGGAUCUGUUUCUAGAACAUAAUGGGAAUUGUACAAAAGAGGGAAUGAAAGACAUUCAGUACUACACUAUAGGUGUUUUAGUAUCGUAUAAAAAAGAGGAUGUAAAGAAUAUCAUAGGAACGGUUAAUACGCACAGCUGACAGAUAAGUUUUUUUCGGGUUACCAAUGUCUGAUAUUAUGUUAUUACCAACUUGCAGAUCCUUUUGUGUGUUCAUUCAUUAGACACUGUUUAUAAAGAGUUACCCAGCUAAUUCUGUUUUUGGCAAAUCCAGCUAAUCGGUUACAUCAACGUUACCAGCUAACAUUAAUUAAGGAAGCGUUGUAAUAUCAAAGUCUGUGAAAUGAAAGGUUAGGAUGGUAUCAAGCAAAUGUUGAAUAAAGGGCCGAGAAGUUUUCAUCAAAGGACUUUGAAGUGAGCUUAAAGAUGACAGAGGCUGAUCAUCUGCGCUGAUUCCAAGUAGAUCGAGGCACUCCCGGUCCCAUAGAAGGAAAGGAGCAUUGCCAUCCAAGUCCACAACCCUAACCUUAAUUCUGUACCUGAGUGUCCCGUCACCCCAAUUUCGAUCACAUGUACUACACCAUAGCCACUUUCCUUUGAGUUUCAGUUUUUUGUUGCACCCCUUUGUUCUACAGGAAGCAUAGUACCACUCUGGAUCAUCAAUGAAUACAAUCCUAGCUGCCACCCAAAAAUCGCCAAACUGCAUCAUAUGAAAGAAUGUAUGUGGACAAAAACACAAGACCUGAAAGCAAAUUAGUGGACUGCUCACUGGUGGAAUAUCAACAAUUAGUGGACUAUCAACAAUUAACACCAUAGCUGAAAGAG